rnacentral:rRNA from 1 species
GACAGAGGGGGCAAGCGUUGCUCGGAAUUACUGGGCGUAAAGGGCGCGUAGGCGGGAUGGCAAGUCGGUCGUGAAAUCCUUCGGCUCAACCGAAGAACGUCGAUCGAUACUGCUGUUCUUGAGGGUUGCAGAGGAGACUGGAAUUCCCGGUGUAGCGGUGAAAUGUGUAGAGAUCGGGAGGAACGCCGGUGGCGAAGGCGGGUCUCUGGGCAAUUCCUGACGCUGAGGCGCGAAAGCGUGGGGAGCAAACGGG